AGAGUUUGAUCAUGGCUCAGGACGAACGCUGGCGGCGUGCUUAACACAUGCAAGUCGAACGGAAAGGCCCUUCGGGGUGCUCGAGUGGCGAACGGGUGAGUAACACGUGGGUGAUCUGCCCUGCACUUUGGGAUAAGCCUGGGAAACUGGGUCUAAUACCGAAUAGGAUCAUGGCCUUCAUGGGUUGUGGUGGAAAGCUUUUGCGGUGUGGGAUGGGCCCGCGGCCUAUCAGCUUGUUGGUGGGGUAAUGGCCUACCAAGGCGACGACGGGUAGCCGGCCUGAGAGGGUGUCCGGCCACACUGGGACUGAGAUACGGCCCAGACUCCUACGGGAGGCAGCAGUGGGGAAUAUUGCACAAUGGGCGCAAGCCUGAUGCAGCGACGCCGCGUGAGGGAUGACGGCCUUCGGGUUGUAAACCUCUUUCAGUAGGGACGAAGCGCAAGUGACGGUACCUAUAGAAGAAGGACCGGCCAACUACGUGCCAGCAGCCGCGGUAAUACGUAGGGUCCGAGCGUUGUCCGGAAUUACUGGGCGUAAAGAGCUCGUAGGUGGUUUGUCGCGUUGUUCGUGAAAACUCACAGCUUAACUGUGGGCGUGCGGGCGAUACGGGCAGACUUGAGUACUGCAGGGGAGACUGGAAUUCCUGGUGUAGCGGUGGAAUGCGCAGAUAUCAGGAGGAACACCGGUGGCGAAGGCGGGUCUCUGGGCAGUAACUGACGCUGAGGAGCGAAAGCGUGGGGAGCGAACAGGAUUAGAUACCCUAGUAGUCC
rnacentral:rRNA from 1 species